rfam:Amazona aestiva scaffold_242, whole genome shotgun sequence.
UGGGGCAUGAACCUGGCAUACAAUGUAGAUUUCUGUGUUUGUUAAAUAACAGCUACAUUGUCUGCUGGGUUUCCAGCUGCCUGG